CCGCGACCCCAGGUCAGUCGGGACUACCCGCUGAGUUUAAGCAUAUAAAUAAGCGGAGGAGAAGAAACUUACAAGGAUUCCCCUAGUAACGGCGAGCGAACCGGGACCAGCCCAGCUUGAGAAUCGGGUGGCUUCGUCACUCGAAUUGUAGUCUGGAGAGGCGUCCUCAGCGACGGACCGGGCCCAAGUUCCCUGGAAAGGGACGCCUGGGAGGGUGAGAGCCCCGUCCGGCCCGGACCCUGUCGCACCACGAGGCGCCGUCAACGAGUCGGGUUGUUUGGGAAUGCAGCCCAAAUCGGGCGGUAAACUCCGUCCAAGGCUAAAUACAGGCGAGAGACCGAUAGCGAACAAGUACCGCGAGGGAAAGAUGAAAAGGACUUUGAAAAGAGAGUCAAAGAGUGCUUGAAAUUGCCGGGAGGGAAGCGGAUGGGGGCUGGCGAUGCGCCCCGGUCGUAUGCGGAACGGCUUCUGCUGGUCCGCCGAUCGGCUCGGGGCGUGGACUGUUGUCGGCCGCGCCGGCGGC
rnacentral:rRNA from 1 species